UACGUAGGCAGCAAGCGUUGUUCGGAAUUACUGGGCGUAAAGAGUGUGUAGGCGGUGCUCCAAGUCUGGUGUGAAAUCUCCCGGCUUAACUGGGAGGGUGCAUUAGAAACUGGAAUGCUAGAGGAUGGGAGAGGUAAGCGGAAUUCCUGGUGUAGCGGUGAAAUGCGUAGAUAUCAGGAGGAACACCUGUGGUGUAGACAGCUUACUGGACCAUUCUGACGCUGAGACACGAAAGCGUGGGUAGCAAACAGG
rnacentral:rRNA from 1 species